rnacentral:rRNA from 1 species
AAUGGAAUAAACUUAGUAAAGAUAAAAUUUUUUUAUAAAGUUUGGAACAUCAAAUGCUAAAGCAAUUUUCUAACAAUUGAAAUGUAACUAUCGUUACUAAUAACUGACUUUUUUAAUUGCUAAAGUUUGAGUAGCAAAAGGAAUUAGAGACUCCUGUAGUUCAAACCUUCACCGAUGAAAUUUUUUUUUUAACGAAAAAUAGUUAACACAAAAUUUUCUGCCUGAACAGUACGGUCGCAAGGCUGAAAUUUAAAGAAUUAGAUGAGAAAAAAUAUAAUUCGUGGAUUAUGUUACUUAAUUCGAAACAACGCGCGAAUCUUACCAAUGUUUGCAUAAAAAUAAGUUUUACACUAUUUAGUGUUUAGAAAAUCCUUUUUUCAUAUUUUUCAUUUUUACAAAUGUUGCAUGGUUGUCGUCAGUUCGUGUUGCAAAAUGUACGAUUAAUUUCGUAAA